AUUUACAAUUAAAAUUAAAGUAAAAGUGAAUUUCCCCAUGGCCGAGGGCUGCCACUACCAAAAUAUUCUUUAUAAUUUUUUUUUAAUUAAAGUGAAAAAUAAAAAUAAAUUAAAAUGAAAAAUAAAAAUAAAUUAAAAUGAAAAAAAAAAGUAAAUUAAAAUGAAAUACAAAAUACUGAUUUACAAUUAAAAUUACAAAGUAAAAGUGAAUUUCACCAUGGCCGAGGGCUGCCACUACCAUAAUGCACAGCGACCCGAGAGCUGACUCAUUAAAAUUCCUUUGUUGUGACAAAAUGGCAGGCAAUUCAGAUAUCAGAGAAGCACCUUGGAAAGAUGAUGAAAAUCUUAAAGAAGCUUUGUCAAAUUAUGUUCAGCAAGGAUUAAAAAGAAGUGAGGUACUAGACUUUGUUACUCGCGACUUUCCUCAAUAUACAUGGAGUCUCAGGUCGCUCGAUAGACGUCUUCGCCAUUUCGAGUUGUUUUAUAAUGACCAAAAUAUUGGAGUCUCGGAUGUAAUCGAAGCGGUGCAAACUGAAUUGAACGGCCCGGGUAUGCUUUUAGGUUACAGGGCCAUGCACAAAAAAAUCAGGAUAGAACAUGGUCUUAAUGUUACAAGGGAUAAAGUCUAUGAUGUGAUGACUGAGCUUGACCCAGAGGGACUUGAAAUCAGAGGUGGCGUUGGUGGCAAGAAGAAAAGAAAGAAGGGGCAUUUCACGACAAAGGGAACGAAUUGGGUGCAUGCACUUGAUGGUCAUGAUAAGCUGAUGGGAUAUCAAAAUUCCACUUUCCCAUUGGCUAUCUAUGGAUGUAUUGACACUGCCAGUAGAAAGCUGUUAUGGUUAAGAGUUUGGAUAUCCAAUUCUGAACCAAAAUUAAUUGGGAAGUGGUACCUUGAAUAUCUCUAUGAAACGCGAAUAAUAUCAGCCAUGCUGCGAGUGGACAAGGGUACUGAGACUGGUGUCAUGGCAACCACACAUGCUUUCUUACGAAGUAAACAUGGAGAUAUGGAUCCACAUGAAACUGUUGUCUAUGGCCCUUCCACCUCUAAUCAGG